GGCUAUAUCUGUUUAGGCCUGCUUGUCUAUACUCACGAUGUGAAGAAUUUGGUCAAUGUUCCCACCCUAAAAUGUUCCUUUUUUUUUUUACGACAGUUGCAUACAUUUUUUCCAUGCUUAUAGUUUCAUAGUUCAACGUUUUGUUAUUGUGACAAGCAAAAUCAAACCAUCUACUCAGAAUUCAUAUCUUUAUUUAUUUUUAAUAGACCGAACUGAUUGCACAUAACAUAAUUUUUAACCGUUGUACAAUUGUAAAACACACAUUCUUCUUUCAAAACAUGCUAUAAAGAAUCUUAAAUAAAUAAAGCUGUAAUGCCAAAUGUCAAUAUGUACAAACGUGGUAGGCAACGUUACAAUUCUUAUAAGGCUACAAUAUAUACAUGGGAACAUAGCAACCAGCCCACAGGUUGCUCACAGCAACUACAUGUUAGCCAAAGUUGACACAUACUAUUUGGAUUAAGUGCCCCAAAUGACGAUGGUAAAAGUCUGCAAAGAUGAUGGGGAGACCAGGUAAUGUAGAGUCUAAUGGAUUCAAACUGCCAGUAUGGGUUGUUUGAUCAAUAACAAGCCUAAAUAAUAUCAAAUCCACAAUUUAAAAAAAGCAAGAGGCACAUCAAAAUAAGAGGUUCACAAAAACACAGAAUCAAACAGGGUGC